ensembl:lncRNA
GUUUCUUCUAUGAAGGCUGCUUUCUGUGAGGGGGUGUUCUGUAGCUAGGGAUUCUUUCACGAGUUGGCUGCUGAAUGGAUCAGUCUUUAAAUGGGUUGCACUGUGUGAGCAGUGAAUGCAAAGAAUGCACAACUUUUGGAUUAUCAGUCUUUUAAGUGGGAUCCAACAACUUUCCUCAGAAGAGUGGAAUACUAGAUUCAGCCAAGAAAUACUUUGAAAUGAUAUUUAACCUAAGGCUUCUAGUGAACAGAACAUGAAGGGAUAAUAUUCUCUUUCUCUCUUCUUCAAACUCAUAUGCACAUGAUUAUUGCAUUAUUUAUCCACAGCUAAAUACUGUCUACAGCUUUAUCUUUAUUCAUCCCUACUGCAGUUCAGCAGUGGAAUAUUUUUAGAUCUAUGUACUGUAUCUGCUUAGUGUUAACUUCUCUAUUUCAUUCAUCUGUAUUUUUGCAUACAUACAAUUCUAAUGAUUCUUCCUCUUGUGCUUGAUAAACAUCUAGAGGUUCAUUGAAGAGUAUGGAAGAAAAGGUGAAGAUAAACAAAAUGCAAUACUUGUGAGCAAUGCUCGUGAUUUCACAUGAAUAUUUGAGGAUGGUUUUCCUAAAAGGAUUCCUAGGAGCAUCCUAAGUUUUUCUUUCUAUGCUGCUGGGAAUGUGAAAAAGCCCUAUUGUCACCAGUUCUUUUCAUACUGAAACAUGGUACAGACACAAUAGAGAUAUCUCUAAGCUGGAUUAAGCUCCAGAAGCAUUGGAGAAAUAGCUUGGGAUAUCUAAAACUGGAAUGAAACAUUCAAAGAUGUAAAUGUGGGAAGGAAUGAAUUCGAGACAAAAGAAAACCUUCUGAAUACCUAUGUUUCAUGGGCAAUGCACUCUUCCCAGCUGACCAGCUCAGUAUAAGCUUACAGUUGACCUAACUCUUCAAGUUUACUUUCAUUAUUUUUCUAAUAACUUGGAGGCAUUCCAUUUUGUGAAAUAGGCCAAUGUGUCAGGUGAACUGGCCACCAUGAAUGUGGGGCUCUGUCCCAUCAGCUGAGAAUGAAUGUGCAUGUGAAUAUUCAGAGGCCUGUGAAUCUGAUGAAAGAGACUGAGCUGCUACCCAACAUGUAGAGAUUACAAGACUUGGCAAAUGCCCAUCCAAAUCACGUUAACUUUCUUGAGUACUGGCAAUGUGUUUGAAGAAUACAAGGCUCGAACUACUGGAUAGUUGGUUAUCUUCCUAUUGGUUCAUUUUGGGGCUGAAGAGUUUCUGUUAACAUUCCAGCAUUCAUCAAGCAACACUGCAGUCACAAAUCAUACUGCUUCCACUCAAAAAGAUGAUUGGUAAAAUAUACAAUCUCAGAUUUUCUUUUCUCUAGGUUUGUUCUGCUUUCUGGUCUUUGGAAAAAAGCUUCUAUUUGAAAUAGUCCCAAGGUUAAACUCUGUUAUUAGCCCUCAAUUCUGCAGUUUCAUGACUGGGCUACU